rnacentral:rRNA from 1 species
CCCUUAGACGUUCUGGGCCGCACGCGCGCUACACUGACGAAGGCAACGAGCUUUCCUUUACCGAAAGGUACGGGUAAUCUUUUGAAACUUCGUCGUGCUGGGGAUAGAUCCUUGCAAUUUUUGAUCUUAAACGAGGAAUGCCUAGUAAGCGCAAGUCAUCAACUUGCGUUGAUUACGUCCCUGCCCUUUGUACACACCGCCCGUCACUACUACCGAUUGAAUGGUUUAGUGAGGCCUUCGGAUCCGCGACUCGUUUUGUGGAGAAGUUGGACAAACUCAGUCAUUUAGAGGAAGUAAAAGUCGUAACA